rnacentral:lncRNA from 1 species
AAUUAUUAUUAUAAAGCUAAUUUAGCCCAGAAAAAGAGAGUGAAAUGAUUAAGGAUGUCACUUGCCUAUUCGUGGGACCCAUCUACACAGUGGAGAGGAAGAAGCUACAGUCAGUGCUCAAGACGAAUUCGCGGGCAAUCAAGAGAUGCUGAUGGAUGAUGCAAGAGAAUCAAAAAGGAAUACCCCCUAUCUUUGUUAUCUGACCAAUUCUGUUGUGACAGACCAAUUUCUGUACAUCUUUCAAGACUCAGCUCAAGCAUCUCCUCCUCCAGGAAGACCUCCGUGAACACCCAGGCAAGGCUUAGUGCCCUUCCCCUGUACUCCCACAGGACGUUCUGCCUCCUUUUAUCCUCAUGUCCACCACAUUAGAUUGAAAUUGCAUGUUCUCCUGUGUAUCC